GGCAUAAUGACAGUAGGAUGUGAAACACAAAUCUUGAUUCCAAACCUACAUGCAGUAGUCACUGACCCUAACUUCCAUCGAGAAUCCUCAGACGGCAGCAUGAAGACAUUGUGAACGUUUUGCUCGUAACUGACAUCGGAGAAUCACUUACAAAAGGUUCAGAUACUCAUCACGCGUCUCGUCCUGACACACACAUAAGACGAAAUCUAUAAGGACGACCAGGACUGCCUGGCCCAUGAUGCAUCACGUAGUCAUGCCCUUGAUACAUACUUAUUGACCUCCUAGCAAGGGGCACCUGCCACCCUGCCUGUCUCACUGGCCACAUGAUGAAGAGCCACAGCGACGGGGUUCCGUCUUCAAGGAGCUUGCCGUCUGGUUGGGAGAAAAAGGUCACGACAGUACAGCUGGGCAAGGGACUGGAACCCAAGCAAAGGGAAAAGAUCUUGGCAAAGGACCUGAUGUUUACAGAGCGUCUACUGUGGGCCAGCCGUUAGAAAACGUAUCCCUCACCCAACCCUUUGAGGUAGGUAUUUUUGUCCUUAGAGACAGAGCCUCUACUCCUUCAGGAACCCAUCCACAGCUCCACAAGCUGAAGCUGGGACUCAGCCCGAUCUCGCUACUCCAUAGAUUCAGUUCUUUACGGCUUUUCCUCCCCCAUGGGAGAGUAUUUCUAUGGUGCUUAGAGAUGUCUUGUGUCUCCUUAUAUAGCCAAGCUCCAAGACUUCUCUUUUAUCAGCUGGUGCCAAACACCUCCCUCAAAUUCUAGAAUUCUCACCAAUUCUCCGAAAAAUUAAUUAACAGCAUCUUUAUAACCUAGUAAAGAGAAUAUAUAAAUAUGCGUGUGUGUAUGUACCUAUAUAUACACAUAUAUACACAUGUAUGUAUAUGUGUGUGUGUCAAUAUUUUUUUCUUUGAAGAUAGUCAGUAAACCCUCUAAGAAACUUGGGGACAGAGACAGGCUUGCACGUCUCUGUAGCCUUCUCAAGUCCCAGCACGUGCCUUGAAAGGAUAGACAUUCAAUAAAUACUUCUCAAAUGAACA
rnacentral:lncRNA from 1 species